rnacentral:pre_miRNA from 1 species
AAAACAUUCAGACCGUCGGUCUAGCGAGCAAAAUCAUGCGCUCGGUGGAAGAUCUCCGUUUUUUCGU